UCUUGUCUUUUGGAUAGCACCUGUGGCUGAUUGUCACGUAAACCCCACAGCUUUGGGCAAACUCAAUUCCACUUCUGAUGAAGGCUGAGCUGUGGGACAGCUAUGGUGGAAGAGCACAGCUGGGAUGAGCAGGAGGUGCUCAGUUUGCUGAGCACAGGGAAUGGGCAUUGCAAUAAGACAGGAGGGCAAGCUGAGAAGAGAGGUCUCGCAAGUCCAAAUGAGUGAUCACUAGUGGGGUAACUCAGACCCAUCAAGUGUGCAGGCACUGGCAGUGUGCUCUGAGGGGCACCUACUGCUCUCAUCUCCUCUGGUCUCCAAGUGAGG
rnacentral:lncRNA from 1 species